GUGGGGAAUCUUAGACAAUGGGCGCAAGCCUGAUCUAGCCAUGCCGCGUGAGUGAUGAAGGCCCUAGGGUUGUAAAGCUCUUUCAGCUGGGAAGAUAAUGACGGUACCAGCAGAAGAAGCCCCGGCUAACUCCGUGCCAGCAGCCGCGGUAAUACGGAGGGGACUAGCGUUGUUCGGAAUUACUGGGCGUAAAGCGCGCGUAGGCGGACUGAAAAGUUGGGGGUGAAAUCCCGGGGCUCAACCUCGGAACUGCCUUCAAAACUAUCAGUCUGGAGUUCGAGAGAGGUGAGUGGAAUUCCGAGUGUAGAGGUGAAAUUCGUAGAUAUUCGGAGGAACACCAGUGGCGAAGGCGGCUCACUGGCUCGAUACUGACGCUGAGGUGCGAAAGCGUGGGGAGCAAACAGGAUUAGAAACCCUAGUAGUCC
rnacentral:rRNA from 1 species